rnacentral:lncRNA from 10 species
AUAGCUGGUUCUAGGACCAUAUUUGCAAAUCACUGCACCAAUUUCUGUGUUGUAGUUGGUUUUUGAGUCUCCAGCUUCACCUCUCAACUCCUGCCACUUUAUGGAACACCCUCAGUGCCCAGGGGUCUCUUGUCCUUGGUCCUGGUUCUCCCUGGGCUGCCUUGAGACUUUGCAGUGUGCCAAUAAGAGGAUGUAUAUGAGACCCUUACUCAUGUAUUUUUCUCUUGUGAAGCUGAUCACACUGGACUUUUAAGUCCUUUCUUCCUGACAUUCAGUCUUUGACUCUGAAUUAGCUGAGGCAUGAGAAGUUCACCACAGGAAGGUCCUGCCCUUUGUUUGCUCCUAAAGGUUCCUUUAAAGUUCAACUUGACCAACACACCAUUGCAAGCACUCCAGAGGAGAAGACAGCCUUGCUGUGUCAAAUCCACUUUAGUUUGUAAAUUUCUUGUCAGUCACUUUUAUGCCCCCACUGAAUAGGACAGUGUGAAGCAUGGAUUAAGUAUGCAAUAAAUGGUUGUUGAAUAAAUCAGAAAAUUAAAUGCAUUCUGCACAGAA